rnacentral:rRNA from 1 species
UACAGAGGGUGCAAGCGUUGUUCGGAAUUAUUGGGCGUAAAGGGAGUGUAGGCUGUGAGGUAAGUCUUCUGUGAAAUCUACGGGCUUAGCCUGUAACGUGCAGAGGAAACUGCUUCGCUUGAGUGUCGGAGAGGAUAGGGGAAUACCCGGUGUAGAGGUGAAAUUCGUAGAGAUCGGGUGGAACACCAGUGGCGAAGGCGCCUAUCUGGCUGACAACUGACGCUGAGACUCGAAAGCAUGGGGAGCAAACAGG